CCUGGGCGGCAGCAGUGGGGAAUUUUGGACAAUGGGCGCAAGCCUGAUCCAGCCAUUCCGCGUGAGUGAAGAAGGCCUUCGGGUUGUAAAGCUCUUUCGCAAGGGAAGAAAACUUAUCCUCUAACAUAGGAUGAGGUUGACGGUACCUUGAUAAGAAGCACCGGCUAACUACGUGCCAGCAGCCGCGGUAAUACGUAGGGUGCGAGCAUUAAUCGGAAUUACUGGGCGUAAAGCGUUCGCAGGCAGAUGUGAAAUCCCCGAGCUCAACUUGGGAACUGCGUUUGAAACUACAAGACUAGAAUAGGUCAGAGGGGGGUAGAAUUCCACGUGUAGCAGUGAAAUGCGUAGAGAUGUGGAGGAAUAUCAAUGGCGAAGGCAGCCCCCUGGGAUCAUAUUGACGCUCAUGCACGAAAGCGUGGGGAGCAAACAGGAUUAGAUACCCUUGUAGUC
rnacentral:rRNA from 1 species